AAAAAAAAAAAAAAAANGAGAAGAUUAGCAUGGCCCCUGCACAAGGAUGACACGCAAAUUCAUGAAGCGUUCCAUAUUAAA
rnacentral:snRNA from 1 species